rnacentral:rRNA from 1 species
GCUAACCCAGUGCAUGGAGCCGCGGGAAGACAGAGGGGGCAAACGGUAAUCGUAAGUACGGGGCGUAAAGACAACGGAGGCGUGCUGUCAAGUCGGAUGUGAAAGCCCCGGGCUCAACCUGGGAACUGCAGUCGAAACUGGCAGGCUAGAGUCUUGUAGAGGGGGGUAGAAUUCCAGGUGUAGCGGUGAAAUGCGUAGAGAUCUGGAGGAAUACCGGUGGCGAAGGCGGCCCCCUGGACAAAGACUGACGCUCAGGUGCGAAAGCGUGGGGAGCAAACAGGAUUAGAUACCCCAGUAGUC